CACAGGAAUUUGGAGGCCACACAGUCAUUUAGGCCAUAGCAAAUGUAACUGGAUAUAGAGGCUAGCAAAUGAGAAAAAUUGAUUAAAAGAUCCCCAAAGAGUUUAGAAGCUACAAAGGAGAAAAUUAACCCCUUGGGUCUUAGAUUAGGUACCUCGCUUAUGGGACUGUGGCUGACAAAAGCUGAUACUGACACUGGAGACAAAAGAACUUGAGGACCACAUGUCAUUUUUAUGCAGGUACCUCUUUGUAAAUCAGUGACAAAGGAAUAGCAGCUUUAAAUAUGUGUUAACACUUGGAUAGCAUGUAUAAUUGCAAUAUGGCCAUGUGUAAUGAAGAUUAAAUUAGACUGUACUAUACCUGACAUACACAAGAACGUAAUUGAACUACAGUCAUUGUUACAAUAGAAGCAGCUGCAAAAUAUCAAUAUUUAAAUUGAGGGAAACAAAACUAAGAAAAGAAGAUGAUAUGGAUAGUCAUCAACAAGUCACCAAGAAAAGUACCCUAUCAAGACAGAAUGCCCAGAUACUAGGUUUUCAGCCUCUUCUUUCCUUGUGUCUGAUGACAGUUGGUCAUGAAUUUCAUGACAUUUUCCAAAAGGGUCCAGUUCGGAUGUCAUGGGGGCACAACCUCACACUGCAUAUCUUGUGUGCUCAGCACUUCUGUUCAGGGCACUGAGGUGGGCUCCAUGCCCAAAGUUCCCAUCAGGAGCCUCAGGCAGGGAAUUGGAAUUUUGGGGUUGAAAUCAAGAGAUGCCACAUGGUUAACCCCAGAUUUUCCUGAGCAAGACUCCUAGGAACACAAAUGAUUUGAAAUUGCCUGGGAAGCAAGGCAGCUAUGGAAUUAGCUCCCAGGGAAAAAUUAGAAGGAAAAGAUUUUAUAAGUUGAAGUUAGUCUGAGUCCCAUGCAGAACUGAGAUAAAGAAGAAAAAAUGUGUGCCUUCUGUCACCAUUCUUCCCCUAUCUUCCUGAAAAUGAACUCUUCUGUCAUCCUUUAGGAUUUAUCCAAUUUUUGACUAGGAUUUAUCACGUGCCAAAUCUGCCAAACAUCCUGGGUAUUCCAAGGCAAAGUGGGGGCUCCACUUAGCUGUGCAGAUGGUCUCUCUCUCCUUGAAGCCCCUAAGUAUUUGCCUGCAGAGCUUGACAAGAGCCAAAGAAUAUUGCUUUUGAGUUUAACAAAUUCACCAAAGGAAUUUGGGGCUAUAUCUCAAAACAAUUUAAGGAGUUGGCUUACUUAAUGAAAUCCCCAUGCCAGCCUUUUUAAGUUGAUGGUAAGGACAUGUGAAAAGGAUCUAAAAGGAUGAAAAGAACCCUACCUCACUGGAAGAUGCUCCUGGUGAAAUUCUGACAGAGGGACAUGGUGCGGAGCUGACAGAGGAGGUGGGGAGUGCUAUUUAUAUGGGUUAGGGUGUUCAGCUUUUCUAAAGUAAUCUUUGCCCAGCAGGGAUUAACUUCUUUAUAUAUAACACCUAAAGAUACCUUCUUGGAGAUAAUCAGCUAUCUAAACAUUAUUUUUCUGGAGCCAUUGAAAGAUAGACUUUGAAAGGAAUUUAAAGAGCUUCUCUUUGUGUGUUGCUCAAAGUGUGGUUUAAAAAAUCAGCAUUGUUUGAUCGCCUGAGAAUCUGAUGAAAAAUAAGUUCCCAGAUUCCACUCUGGAGCUCAGAAAUCAUAAACUCUGGGAGUGCUAUUGGGGAAUCUGCAU